CGUGGGUAACCUGCCCAAGAGAUCGGGAUAACACCUGGAAACAGAUGCUAAUACCGGAUAACAACAGAUGAUGCCUAUCAACUGUUUAAAAGAUGGUUCUGCUAUCACUCUUGGAUGGACCUGCGGUGCAUUAGCUAGUUGGUAGGGUAACGGCCUACCAAGGCGAUGAUGCAUAACCGAGUUGAGAGACUGAUCGGCCACAUUGGGACUGAGACACGGCCCAAACUCCUACGGGAGGCAGCAGAU
rnacentral:rRNA from 1 species